rnacentral:tRNA from 1 species
UUAACUAAAGCCAAAAAGAGGCACUUCACUGUUAAUGAUGAUAUUGAGUUUAACUCUAGUUAAA